rnacentral:tRNA from 1 species
GGGGCUGUAACUCAGUGGUAGAGUGCCUCGUUUGCAUCGAUGAAGUCCAGGGUUCAAUCCCCUGCCGCUCCA